rnacentral:lncRNA from 1 species
GAAUCAUUAAAACUUAGGGUUAUUGUUUUACUCACAACCAUUUAAAAUGGCAUUUAUUGGGAGUUUUGAUGGUUGAAAGUGUGGGUGAUAAUGGAGGCUAAGGAUCAUUAUUUGGCGAAGAAAGAUUUUCAGAGGUCUUGAGAUUUCUGGAAAGUGUCUGCCAUUUGACCAGUUCAAGAAUUUGAGAGAGUGUGAGAAAGAUUUAAGCUUUGGUAUUU